AGUCAAUAGAUACCCCGGUAGUCCAUGCCGUAAACGAUGAUUGCUAGGUGUGGGGGGUCUGACCCCUUCCGUGCCGGAGUUAAACACAAAUAAGCAAUCCACCUGGGGAGUACGGCCGCAAGGUUGAAACUCAAAGGAAUUGACGGGGGCCCGCACAAGCAGUGGAGUAUGUGGUUUAAUUCGAAGCAACGCGAAGAACCUUACCAGGUCUUGACAUCCACCGAAUCCUGUAGAGAUACGGGAGUGCCCUUCGGGGAACGGUGAGACAGGUGGUGCAUGGUUGUCGUCAGCUCGUGUCGUGAGAUGUUGGG
rnacentral:rRNA from 1 species